rnacentral:rRNA from 1 species
GAUGAACGCUAGCUACAGGCUUAACACAUGCAAGUCGAGGGGUAACGAGAGGAAAGCUUGCUUUCCUUGUCGACGACCGGCGCACGGGUGAGUAACGCGUAUCCAACCUGCCCCCAACUAGGGAAUAACCUUGCGAAAGUAAGACUAAUACCCUAUAAUUUCCUCAGAUGUCAUCUGACGAGGAAUAAAGCUUUAUCGGUUGUGGAUGGGGAUGCGUCUGAUUAGCUUGUUGGCGGGGUAACGGCCCACCAAGGCAACGAUCAGUAGGGGUUCUGAGAGGAAGUGCCGCCACAUUGGAACUGAGACACGGUCCAAACUCCUACGGGAGGCAGCAGUGAGGAAUAUUGGUCAAUGGGCGGAAGCCUGAACCAGCCAAGUAGCGUGCAGGAUGACGGCCCUAUGGGUUGUAAACUGCUUUUAUACAGGAAUAAAGUUAGCCACGUGUGGUUAUUUGUAGGUACUGUAUGAAUAAGGACCGGCUAAUUCCGUGCCAGCCGCCGCCGUAA